rnacentral:rRNA from 1 species
ACAUGCAGUUAACGCUAUUUUGAUAGAGUGGCGCACGUUGUGAGUAACGCGUGGGAACCUGCCUUUCUCUGCGGGACAACGGUUGGAAACGACCGCUAAUACCGCAUACGCCCUACGGGGGAAAGGUCAGCCGGAGAAAGAGGGGCCCGCGUUCGAUUAGCUUGUUGGUGGGGUAAUGUGCUACCAAGGCGACGAUCGAUAGCUGGUCUGAGAGGAUGAUCAGCCACACUGGGACUGAGACACGGUCCAGACUCCUACGGGAGGCAGCAGUUGGGGAAUAUUUGGACAAUGGGGGCAACCCUGAUCCAGCAAUGCCGCGUGUGUGAUGAAGGCCUUAGGGUUUGUAAAGCACUUUCACUGGUGAAGAUGAUGACGGUAGCCAGAGAAGAAGCCCCGGCUAACUUCGUGCCAGCAGCCGCGGUAAUACGAAGGGGGCGAGCGUUGUUCGGAAUUACUGGGCGUAAAGGGCGCGUAGGCGGUCCUUUAAGUUAGGCGUGAAAGCCCCGGGCUCAACCUGGGAACUGCGCUUAAGACUGGAGGACUAGAAAACGGAAGAGGGUAGUGGAAUUCCCAGUGUAGAGGUGAAAUUCGUAGAUAUUGGGAAGAACACCAGUGGCGAAAGCGGCUACCUGGUCCGAUUUUGACGCUGAGGCGCGAAAGCGUGGGGAGCAAACAGGAUUAGAUACCCUGGGUAGUCCACGCCGUAAACGAUGUCUGCUAAAUGUCG